rnacentral:rRNA from 1 species
GGGUUCUGAUUUGCUUAUUGCACCACAUGUGUUUUUCUUUGAAACAAACUUGCUUUGGCGGUGGGCCCAGCCUGCCGCCAGAGGUCUAAACUUACAACCAAUUUUUUAUCAACUUGUCACACCAGAUUAUUACUUAAUAGUCAAAACUUUCAACAACGGAUCUCUUGGUUCUCGCAUCGAUGAAGAACGCAGCGAAAUGCGAUACGUAAUAUGAAUUGCAGAUAUUCGUGAAUCAUCGAAUCUUUGAACGCACAUUGCGCCCUCUGGUAUUCCGGAGGGCAUGCCUGUUUGAGCGUCGUUUCUCCCUCAAACCGCUGGGUUUGGUGUUGAGCAAUACGACUUGGGUUUGCUUGAAAGACGGUAGUGGUAAGGCGGGAUCGCUUUGACAAUGGCUUAGGUCUAACCAAAAACAUUGCUUGCGGCGGUAACGUCUACCACGUAUAUCUUCAAACUUUGACCUCAAAUCAGGUAGGACUACCCGCUGAACUUAAGCAUAUCAAUAAGGCGGAGGAA